UCAGGACGAACGCUGGCGGCGUGCCUAACACAUGCAAGUCGAGCGGGAAGCUUAGACUGCGGCUUCGGCCAAAGUCUAAAGUGGAGAGCGGCGGACGGGUGAGUAACGCGUGAGUAACCUGCCAUAUGGAGGGGGAUAACACAAAGAAAUUUGUGCUAAUACCGCAUAAUAUUAUAAAAGCGCAUGCUUUUAUGAUCAAAGAUUUAUCGCCAUUUGAUGGACUCGCGUCUGAUUAGCUGGUUGGUGAGAUAAAAGCUCACCAAGGCGACGAUCAGUAGCCGAACUGAGAGGUUGAUCGGCCACAUUGGGACUGAGACACGGCCCAGACUCCUACGGGAGGCAGCAGUGGGGAAUAUUGCGCAAAUGGGGGAAACCCUGACGCAGCAACGCCGCGUGAAGGAUGAAGGCUUUCGGGUCGUAAACUUUUGUCUUAGGGGACGAUAAUGACGGUACCCUAGGAGGAAGCCACGGCUAACUACGUGCCAGCAGCGGC
rnacentral:rRNA from 1 species